UUCACAUUUUUUUUUGAUGAUAUAUGCUUGCCCAACAAAGAAAUCAGUGACAAAUUUAUGCUUGCAAUUGUCUUUUAAUUAUACAAUUAGACAAGAAAUUAUAUGAAUGCCUGUUCUUUAGACCUUUCUUCAGCAGGGUUCAGAAUAUGCGUCAUCAUUCUUCAUCAAAGAAUCGUCAACUAAAGCUUGCGAAAUCAACAAGCUUGGCCAAUUUUCUGUAUGCUGGCCUGGCUCUAUGUUAGACAUCCAGAGAAGAGGUUCGCAAUAAUAAAUGAAGCCGAACGAGUACCUAAGAAUCAAUCUUUGAUAGCUAAUGCGAAAAAAAGACAGCAGGGUUCACCACUCCACAUGUAUCCAUAAUAGCAAGUAUUCUGCCAAAUGUCGCCGUUCUGCUCCAAGGGCAUAGCAUGUUCUGGCUUUGAUAGCGAAACAAAUAACAGGCGACACGCCCCAUUUCCAGACUAGAGUUUUGCUACUGCCUAGCUGGUUGGUCUAUCCCAAUCACAUGAAUAAAGGGUUUCGACUUCAUUCCUAUACAACAAUUGGCUGCUUACUUGGUCUAUACUCUAUACCACAACAUCCAAUUCUAGUGUUAGCACUGAUGUUGAGGUAAUCUAAAUGCUUCCAACCAAAACUAGCUGGUAAACAUAUCCAUCGUGCAUGAACGUCUGGCAAUGACAGCGACGG
rnacentral:misc_RNA from 1 species